rnacentral:rRNA from 1 species
UACAGAGGUCUCAAGCGUUGUUCGGAUUCAUUGGGCGUAAAGGGUGCGUAGGUGGUUCGGUAAGUCAGGUGUGAAACCUCCAGGCUCAACCUGGAGACGCCACUUGAUACUGCUGUGACUGGAGUCCGGUAGGGGAGCGUGGAAUUCCUGGUGUAGCGGUGAAAUGCGCAGAUAUCAGGAGGAACACCAGCGGCGAAGGCGGCGCUCUGGGCCGGUACUGACACUGAGGAGCGAAAGCGUGGGUAGCAAACAGG